CUCUGCAGUCACCACAGCUGGACUGGAGGACACAGAGGGCCAGAGGAAUCCUUCUCUUGUGAACCUAGGAGCCAUUAUUGGGGUGGUGGUGGCCACGGCUGUGCUCAUAACCCCCGUCUAUGUGAUGCUGAUCUUCCUCUGGUGGAAGAAAAGGCCAGCAGACUAAAGCUGAAACCCCAGCCAGGUGAGCAGCUGUCAUCCCAAGGAGCAGGCACAGCACUGUCUGCUAGUCCCCAACUAAUGGACCAGGGGCCAGCAUCCCUCACCAGGGUGGUGAGUUUCCAUCAAAGUAGGAUUUGCUGGUCAUACAUCCUGCAUAUCAAGCCCUUCCCUCACCAUGGCCUGGGAAUCAGAGAGCAGGGCUGCAGGCCUGUGCUGUGAAACAUCCCAUCCUUGGACAGGUACAGAAGAGAACCCCACUUCUGUCAUGUGCGCUCUGAUUUCCUUUCCUCAGAACCCAGUCAAUUUGUCUUCUCUGGUUCUGGGAUCCCAACUGUACUGUUUCCUAUCUGUCCACUUUUUAAUAAAU